UUCAUCUGGAAAGAUUUUCAUCUGGCAGAUGAUAAAUACACCAGAUAAAACUGCAUAGAGUUACACUGUAGGAGAGACCUGACUCAUAUCUAGUGGCUUAAGGGUGGGCUCUUUUGACUUUUUGCUUGAAAUCAGCCACCUAGCAUCUAGCACACCUUAGAAACUGGAUAACAAUGUGGUAAAAACUAAUCAGCAAACCUUAGCAACCAUAUAGUGCACUGGUAUCAGUGUUGGGGAAGCUACUUUGAAACUGAAAAGUUAUUCAUAAUUUGAAGUAGUCAUGCUACAGUUUUGAAAACUUGAAGUAUACUAUUAACUACAAACAAAAAAGUAGAACAUUGAAGUAAUUGAGCAAUAUACAUAUUUUUAGAAGUAAAAAAUAUACUAUCCAAUGGCAUAAUCCACCAACCUGUGUUUUUGGAUACAGCACCAUUCCUUGAGCAUUUACAAUGUGUGUAUAAAAUCAGAUAAUUAGUUUAUUCCAACUUUAUGCACACACUUUCAGUAUAUACACACAAUUUUGACUUUUUGCCAUUCUUUAGUGGUGGUUUGGAUAUGUAACAGAUGUAAUGGAUAUAACUUCUAUUAUGAUUUAAAUUUUUUAACCAUUUACCCAAGCACCUUUUUCAGAAAUAGUAAUGUCAUAUUUUGAUCUGUAGGGGGAGCAGUGAAGCUAUAAUCUGAGUAUGGGCCCUGAGGAGCUGCCUCAUUUUAUGGACACGAUGUCGAGCACUCCUCCUCUCUCUCCUCGUCCUGUUGGUUCCUCAUUCUCACCUCCUUACUGCUCUCCACCGGUUGUGACCUUACGGCCCCCUGCCACUCGUCACCUGACUCAGCUCGACCCCUGGAGGAGACACAGCUGGGAACCUGGAGCUGUGGCACAGGGAUAUCCACCCAAUGACACACGCAGUGUGAGUCUUGAAGAUCUGGAUCUGGAUGAGAUUUCCUUAGUGAUAAACGGUGCAUUGAGGUCAAAAAGAGCUCGAGAAGCCCGCAGGUCUGUCACUCAAGCUUCCCUGACGUCACUUACCGAAGAGGAAGUUGGAGCAGAGCAUCAGGAACAUCAUCAAUCAGCGCUGGAGGAGCAGUCCAAUCAGAUGCAUGGCUGCAGUGCCUCCGCCCCCAGCCUGUAUAUGAUGCAGCAGAUGCCUAGAAGCACAAAAACAAAGAGGACGCCUCAGGAAAUCGUCUGGAGCGAA
rnacentral:lncRNA from 1 species